rnacentral:rRNA from 1 species
AAAACAGGGACGAACGCUGGCGGCGUGCUUAACACAUGCAAGUCGAACGGGACUACUAUGAAGGAGUUUUCGGACAACGGAGUAGUAGUUUAGUGGCGGACUGGUGAGUAACGCGUGAGGAACCUGCCUUUCAGAGGGGGACAACAGCUGGAAACGGCUGCUAAUACCGCAUGAAGCAUUGCUGGGACAUCCCGGGAAUGCCAAAGAUUUAUCGCUGAAAGAUGGCCUCGCGUCUGAUUAGCUAGUUGGUGAGGUAACGGCCCACCAAGGCGACGAUCAGUAGCCGGACUGAGAGGUUGACCGGCCACAUUGGGACUGAGAUACGGCCCAG